rnacentral:lncRNA from 1 species
UUUCUCUCAAAAGUAUCCACUCACAAACGCCUCAAGCUAAAUCAUCCACCAGGACCAAAACCAUGGCCUAUUAUUGGCAACCUGAACCUCCUCGGUUCAAACCCACAUCAAUCCUUACACUUAUUGUCCCAGAAAUAUGGAGAAAUCAUGCAACUAAAAUUUGGUUCCAGCCCUGUUGUAGUAGCUUCAUCCCCUGAAAUGGCAAAAGAAUUCUUGCAAACGCAUGACAACAUUUUCGCCUCUCGGCCUACAACUGCUGCUGCCAAAUACACUAGCUACAACUGCUCCGGCAUUUUAUGGGCACCAUAUGGUCCACACUGGCGACAAGCUCGUAAAAUUUGUCUAACCCAAAUAUUUAGUCCAAAACGACUUGACCGCUACGAGAGCAUACGCAUUGAGGAAAGGCAUGCUUUCAUGUCUCGUUUGUAUGCUCUCUCAGGAAAGCCAGUACUUUUGAGAGAUCAUCUAAUCCGUUUUACACUCUCCGCUGCAUGCCAAAUGGUUUUGAGUAACAAGUACUUUGCCCAAUCUGAAGGGGAUGGAUCUGUAGUUACCUUUGAAGAACUCCAAGAGAUGAUAGAUACCUGGUUUUCGCUGGGUGGUGUGUUCAAUAUUGGGGAUUGGAUUCCGUGGCUCGACAGAUUUGACCUUCAAGGUUGCGUAAAGCAAAUGAAAGAACUUUACAAGAAAUUUGAUAGAUUCCAUAACCAUGUGCUUGAUGAUCAUCGGGCCAAGAGGAAAACGGAGAAAGAUUUUAUCCCUAAGGACAUGGUGGACAUUCUAUUGCAAUAUGCUGAAGAUCCUGAUCUCCAGGUUAAACUCACAGGAGAUCAGAUGAAAGGGCUAAUUCUGGUGCUAUUUCUUCUCACUGUUUAAUCAAAUUUCCAGAUCUCUAUACCUCUUUAACUUACUGAAACUUAAAGCUAGCACUUUAGUUUAGCUUACUAUAAUGUGCCGUUAAAUAUAACUGUCUUUUUUCUUCUGAUUAAGAGGUUUUCUGCUUUCAAUGUGUUGUCAAGCAUGAUACUUCAUCAGCAUUUGAUCAUGGCAGGACUAAUUUUACCAAUAUUUGAUCAUGUCCAGGACUUACUGGCUGGUGGUACCGAUACCUCGGCGUCCACAGUAGAAUGGGCAAUGAAUGAACUUCUCAAACAUCCACUUCUCAUUGAAAAGGCAACCGAAGAGCUUGAUAGAGUGAUCGGGAGAGAUAAGUGGGUGGAAGAGGCUGAUUUCUCAAAGCUACCUUUUCUAGAGGCGAUCAUAAAGGAAACCUUUAGGUUACAUCCAAUAGCAACGCUGCUUCCACCCCACCGUGCCAUUGAGGAUGGCACUGUAGCUGGUUAUCACAUUCCUAAAGGAACAGUGGUGUUUAUAAACACACGGAGUAUAGGGAGGAACUCAAAGUAUUGGGAUUCUCCUGAAGAGUUCAUGCCAGAAAGGUAUUUGGAGAAGGAUAUUGACAUGAAGGGACAAAACUUUGCGUUAUUGCCAUUUGGCUCAGGUCGGAGGAUGUGCCCAGGCUAUGUCCUUGCACUCAAACUUGUUGGAACAAUGUUGGCCAACUUGCUGCAUGGAUUCAACUGGAAAUUGCCUCAUGGCAUGAAACCAGAAGAAAUUUGCAUGGAAGAACUCUACGGAUUCAUAACUCAUCCAAGGACUCCAGUUGCUAUGAUCCCAGAACCACGUUUGCCGGUCAAUCUCUACUAGAGAUCGUAUGAUUUAAGGGAAAAUUGAAAUGUGUUCCUUGUUGGCAAAAUAAACCAAACCUAAAAAUUGUUAGUGUCAGAUUUUUAGUGGUUGUGUGAUUUAGAAAUUAAUAUUUUAUUUGGUAAUUUCUUAUACAAGUGGUUUCUUUCUCAAUAAGUUUGCUAGGUUAUAAAUAAGACAUUAUUUAGUAUAUUUUUUUAAGAGAGUCCAGAAAGAGUCUGUAAGGUUUUAUUAUGGUAUGAGUUUCUUCCACUAAUUUGAAAUAUCAAUAAUAGUGUGAAUUAUUUAUUUCUUUUGUCUCUCAUAAAUAUGUUAGUAAUUAUUUCAUCCUUUAAUCUAUAACCCUACGCGCAUUAGUUAUUAUUAGAACUUUAAAAUUUGGAAUCUACAAUUGCUAUCACAAGCCCAACACGAGGUUAGUUUUGGAUGUUUCCAUUGUCAGAGAAUUAAGGCAUUUCUGUUGUAAGAGAAUUCAGGAACAAAUUUAUUGAAAAGUAUUUGGUUGAUUAAGUUAGACCACAAGGUUGGUCAUGAAGUGUAUAGUUGGUGAGAAAUUCAAUCAUAAGAUUGGCUCGAAAAUUAUUAGAUUGUUACAGGUGCUAUGACAGAGAUUAGAGAAGAAUCUUAUCAGAGUUGUUGAUUGCUGUGGAUUAUUAGAUUGAAGAAUUUAUUUAGUUAAUCAACCAAUGAGGCCAAGAAACUUGAAAAAAGAGGAAAGAAUUCGUUGAUAUACGUGAGUUAUUAAUGAUGGAUGUGUUUUGAGAUCUAUGUAAUAAUGAAAGGUAUAGCAUACUAACUCCUAAAUAUAAAAGCCAAGAAUCAUAUUAUUGUUGAUUUUUAAGAGUAAAAAAAUAUCUUGAACAUUGCAAUUUAGAUAAUUUUCUUGAUGGAUUGUUACAAAUGAAUUACCAAAACAUGUUGUCAAGAGGAAUGCUAGAUCAUUUUUUCAAGUUAUGUGAAAAACAAUGUUUGACUAUAUUCAAAAUAUUUGUUCAUCGUACUAAAAUACUUUGUAUAUUUUGGAAGAAUAUUUAUUACGUUUUGAAAACUGUUGAAUUGAAUGAUGCUUUUAAAUCAAAAUUUGGUUAUUGGACAUGGUUAGUUGAUUUUGAGAGUGAUAGAUUUGUAGAUGACAUGGGUGAUUUAGAAGAUUUUGAAUGGGUUGAUAGUUUAGAUUUGCAUACCAUAUUUGGAGAAAUUGGGAGUGAUGAUUUUGUUGAAAAAAAUGUGUUAAUUUGACAAAGAAAGAAGAAAAUUUUGAUUUGAUAAGACAAGAAGAAGAUGAAAUUGCUAUUGAAAAUUUUGUUGGUUUGGACUUUCUUCAAGAUGAUGGUAAGAUGUUUGAUUUGAUAGAUAUGGAUUUAUUGGAGUUGAAAAAUAUUUUACUUCUAAAGAAUUGAUUGACAUUGUGAACUUGUUUUGGUAAUUGUGGUAGUGGAAUUCUUGAAUUGUUUGGUGAUGAUCAUUUUGAUAAAAAUGCAAACUAUGAUUUUGUAUUCUUAGGCACUUACGUUGGUAGUAAAUAUGGUGACUAGUGAUGAAUGGCUUUGUAUGAAUAAGUACUUUGAUCCAAAGGAAAUUAUUUGCAAAAUACAAAGUGCAUUCACUGUCACGAGUAAAGAUGAAAUAAAAGUCGGCAACAAGAUAGAGUUGCAUAUCAAUUAUACUAUGACAUAUAUUUGCAUGGAGACUAUUGCUCUAGAUAGAGUUGAACCUAUCUCAAUGAAGAGUUUGAUUUAAGAGAGGCAAUGUUGACAAAAGAAGUCAAGCCUAAACUUUUCUACUUAUUUAUUUACUAAUUUUAUUGGUAUCAGAUUUUCAGUAGUUGUAUGAUUUAAAAAUUUGUGUUUUAUUUGGUAAUUUCUUAUGGUAGUGAUUUCUUAAUUAACAAGUUUCCUAUAUAUAUAUAAAAAGGAGUUGUUGUGUGGCUGUUGGAUAAUUUUCAUCUAACCAUUUUGAGGGGUACAUUAGGCAUUUCAGUACCAGUGUACAAGUCAUUAAUGUUAGGGUACUUGCAUUCUAGGUGUAUUGGUAUGUACAUUACCCAGCCUAUCCUUAGUGGCUUGAUGCUUCCACUCUGCCGAUGCUUAGUUAUAAAUAGGACAUUAUUUAGAGUGUUUUCUCCAGAAAGUCCGGAACCAGUCUGUGAAGUUUUGUUAUGGUGUGAUUUUCUUACAUUGUUUUGAGAUAUCAAUAAUAGUGUGAAUUAUUUAUUUCUCUCCUCUCCUAUAAAUAUUUGAGUGAUUGUUUCAUCUUUCAAUCUAUAACUUUAUAUGCAUUAAUUAUUCUUAGAAUUCUAACAUUUGGGUUCUACAUUCCUACCCUGUAUCACUCAAUGGUUGAACUCAUUCUCUGCUCUCCAAUUGUAUCAUGCCCUUUUAAUCGCUUAGCCCAUUGAAAGUGAUAGUGAUAGACAAAUUCCUGCAAGUACAUAGGGGUCAAUCAGAGUAAUAAUUCACCUAAAAUAUUUUAGGGGUUGAAUCCAUAUAGAUGAGUCAAUUUUCUACUUUAAUUAUCGUAACAAAAUAAUGAAACUUAAAUUCAAAGGAUUUUUAAUUACUAAUUAAGAAAUUGAAUAAAUAAUCAAAUCAAAUAAGAUAUAGGUAAGAAAAUAAUUGGCAAAAGACUAGGGUUCAGGUUUUAAUCCAUAUUUUGAAUUAUUUAUCUCGUUAAUUUCUUAACAUGCCAAGAAUAUAUCAUGCAAAAGUUUUAUAGAUUACCUUUUGAUACAGCCAAAUUGCAUCCAAUUAAAUUUCAUGUCUCUCUCAAAAUUAUAAAUAUUUAAUUAAAAGAGGUUUCUGACAAUUUCACUUGCAUCCCUUAGAUUUGAAUAAUUACACUAACCUCUCUUCAUAUAGCUAAAUGACUACAAUAUUCUUCACUUAUAAAUAAUUCAUACAAACAAAAAAAAAAUACCCUAGAACUACAACUAGUUUUUCAUUCUAAAGUAACAAUUGCCACAUAAAACAACUUUUAUUCUCUCUCUCCAACCCUUUCUCCUACUUUCUUUCUCCUGUAUCUCAUAAUUCACCAUUUUUUCGCAACUGCCAUCUACACAACCAUUUAAUACAUCUCGAAUCCUUAUUAUUAUGGAAAUAGAUCCUCUUUUUUUUUGUAUGUAUUAUUGAAUUAAAAUUGCCAAAUGACAGUUAUCGGAUUUGAUUUGUUGUUAAACUAAAUGAAGAUGAAAAGGAUGAUGGUGAUACAGAAUACAGACAAGAAAAUAAAACUAAUGGCUAAAAAGGAAACUUGAAUUGAGGAAGAUUGUGUUAUUAUGUCAAUUGUGUAAAAAAGAAUUUUGGGAUAAAAAUUGCAAUCGAAUUUGCCUAGAGACAUGGGAUAUUGUUUCUAGUGUUGCUUUUGGUUGCUCCGUGUUGGUUUUCUUAGUGGGUCUGAUUAUUUUAGCAUCAACGAAGUUGCAACAUUUUGGAUUGAGUUUGGAUAGUGACAUUGGUCAAUUCAAGCACUGAAUUUAGAUCCCAAAAAAUGAGGUUAAAGAUUAGGUUGAAUGCAAACUUUUAUUGUCAUAACUGAUUUGUAUGGGAAGUUUUGGAACAGCAAUGGUAGGCUGUCAAAAUUGUGAGAAUAUGGGGAUUAAACUGAAGUGGUUUAUUGAAGUUGUUAUGGUGGUGGUUAUGUUGUUAGCAAUAGUUGUAACGUGGAAGAAAUUUAUUAGUGUGUUUUUCUCCUUCUAAGUAAUAAAGGGGUAUUUUAGGAUUUUUAAGAACAAAUUUAGUAUAUUGAGUCUAUAUUGUUACUGAAAUGCUAAUCGUAGGGGAGGUAGGUAUAAUUUUUUAAACUAGAGGGGAGCUUCCUGCAAUAAUAAAAAAUCUCAAGGGAGGCUUCUGAAAUUAUCCCUUAAUUAAAUCCUUUAAGAUCGUAGAUGAUUUAAUUACGUCAUACAAAUUCUAACCUGCUCUCAUGAUUAGGUUAAGCAUAUUUAUCUAUCUAAUGCAUGAUUAUAUAUCUCUUCUCAGUUCACUACAAAUGCUAAAGCAUGUCUAUGGUGGCUAAUCACAAAUAUGUAAUUAAGAGAAGAUAAAUAAAUCAAGAUAAAAGUCAAGAAUUUAACUAGAAUAAAUAAUCAAUUCUCUUCAAAAAAUCCUAACCCUAGAAGUAAAUUAGUUCAUCAUAAUUGUAAGAAUAAACAAGAGUUCAAUAUUGAAAAUACAAGACGUGGAAUAAAGCGUAAGAAAAGUUUCUUACCGACUCCAAAUCCCGUGUCUUGAUUGUCAGUCUCGAUUCUUCAAUUCCUAAAGAAAGCCAUAGAACUAAUGUUUUGACAAGUGUUUUAUCUCCUAAAAAUGUUCUAAGUACUCCCAUUUAUAGUUUUCUAUAAUCUCUGUUGAAUCUCGAAAGGAAUAGGCUUCCCGCAUAGUUUUUUAUGACAUCCGGUGACAAGUCAAUUUCAAGAUCAAAUUUCCACGCGUUUGGAAUACAUUUCCUCCUCGAUCUCACUUUUUUGCAAGUUAGGAUCCAAUUAAAGCACAAAAAGGCAUAAUCAACCAAUAAUUUACAUGUGUAACAUUGCUAAAAUCCACACCCUACUUCCUAGUACUUUCCAAUUUAUUGGUUAAUGGAAUAAGAACUUUCUCAAUAUAGUUCAUUCUCUAUUUAUCCAUAAUUUUAACAGAUUCUUCUCAUGGCAUGAAACUUAUCCAAUAAUAAAUUCAAAAUAGUCAUAAUUGAUAUUUCAGGAUAGCCGCAAAAGCAAUUGGUAAAUGGAAACGUUUGAUGAAGAAAGUAAAUUCACAAAUCAGGAUGGCAACAGAGACACUUGCAAGCUUUGCAGUGAAUCAAGUUUAGAGAAUGAGAAUGUGAUUUCACUGGUUAACCCACUGAAGGAUAGGUUCAAGCCAAUUUUUCUUAUACCAUAUUCCGACCUAAUGCUGAUCAUGGUUGACAAGAUAAUUGAUAAACAAUUUGUAAUCUCUAACAAGGCCUUGACUAGCACUCUUACGAAGAAAUUUGCCAAAUUAGGUGAUAUAAAUUACCAAAUUUGCCAAAAGUGGAAUGUGAAAUUCGUCCAAAAUUCAUGGAAGGAAAAGAAAUAAUCAAGACUUCAAUAAUGGAAACGGAAGCAAGAAUAACGCUAGGCAAGACGGCAUGGACUUCAAUUGUCAAUUCCUUUGGAGUUUCAAUAUUUGGAUUGUAGUUUUUUAAGAAAAAAAUUUUACAUUUUUAAUGAACAUAUUUUUUAAUAUCUUAUUAUUUUAUAUAUAUUAAAUUAUUACAAAAAUUUUAAAAAAAUAACAAUCUAAACGCAGCUGCAGCGCUAGUGCUUGGCAAGCUUGAAACAACCCUCUCGAAUUAAGGUGUGAUAAUUUUGACCCAAAAAAAAUGAAGGUGUGAUAAUGCUGCACGUCAUCUACGAUUUUUCAGAUUCCUACUUCUAUACUUUGACAAAAGACAUGUCUAUGUCUGGCAGGAAGUGUGACAAUGCUGUACGGCAUCAACAAAUUUUCAGACUCCUACAACUUCAAUACUUUGACGGGAUAAUUUUGAAAACCUCCCUUGGGAUUUUGAUAAUUUUACUCUGCUUUCCUCAAGUUUAAAUAAUUAGGCUUACCUCCCUUGACAUAAUAAAGGACCUAUAAUGACCUUCACUUAAUAGACAAUUCACAGUGUAAUGCAAUAUAUUUGAAAAACCCCAAAAAAAAAUCAUUUUUUUCUAUGUCUUGCCUAGCUCCACUCUUCUCUUUUCUAGUUAUUAUAUUGUUGUGCCCUUUUUUUUUCAGUUUUAUAGAUAUUACCAAAUUGAAAUUGUAAAAUUAAUAGUUCAAUUGAGGGAGUGAAUUAUGUAUCAAAUUAGAAGAAAAUGAAGAGAUUUGGAGUGAUAGAGAAAAAAAAUAACGAAAUUAAUUAAUGAUUGAAACAGGUUGGAGGAUCAAAGAUGGAAAAUUUACCAUAUAUAUUUUUUUCUGUGGCAAGCAUUGAUGAUCCUUUGGAUAGUUGCUUUGAUUUGGAACUAGAGUUUUUACUUAUGUGGUUAUUAUGAAUUGGGAUGGUCAAUUUGUGAAAAGUGUGAAAGAAAAGAAUUGAAUAUAUUGUAUUUUUCCUUUUUACUUUUGUAAUAAAGGGUAAUUUAAGGUUUUUGAGAAAAAAUCUAGUUUGUUGGACCUAUUUUAUUAUAUAAACAAUAAAAGUAAGGAUUUAGAUGUAAUUUUUAAAACUUCAAAAGAACUCUUUGCAAUUAUGAAAUACCUUAAGGGAGGUUCAUGAAAUUAUCCCAUACUUUGACAAAAGACAUGUCAAUGUCAGCAAGACGUGUGAUUAUGCUGCACGCAUCAAUGAUUUUUCACGUCCCUACAACUUCAAUACUUUGACAAAAGACAUAUCUAUGUGUGGCAAGAAGUGACAUAAUAUAACAAAGAGCAAAUUUUCUAAAUAGUCCUUCAACUUUUUAACUAAUUCAUGUUUGAUCCUUCAUCUUAAAAAUGAGAUAGAAUGAUCCUUCAAUAAAAUUUUUUAGACCAAAUUGGUUCUUAGUGGUGAUGAGAUUUGAAUUUUCUUGCCUGUUCCGUCACAUAGGGACCAAUUCGGCCUAAAAAAUUUCAUUGGAGGGCCAUUAUGUCCCAUUCUUAAGAUGAAGGAUCAAAUAUGAAUUAGUAAAAAUGUCCUAUUGAACUUGAAGACGACACGGCUGCUGUGGAAAUUAAGUUCAAAGACAAUUCGUGGUUUCUGACGUACAGCAAUGAGCGACCCAUUUUUAGGAACCUCUCUUAAACUUCUAAAACUAUCACUUACCUCCCUUAUCAUUCAAACUCAACGUCACAAGUCACCAAUUGAUAUUUUUACCCUCAAUACUAUAGGUUUAUUCUGGAAAAAUACUUUCCACCCAAAAGAAUUGGCAUGAUUUUCUUCUUUUGCUUUUUUUUUUCUUUUGAAUUUUGCCCUGUUUUAAUAAAAAUGUCGCAUAUAUUAGUCCCAAUUCAGGAGCUUAUAUUUUUUAGCGUAAUUCUUUUAUGCCAGUUUACCUACCACAUUCCCCGCAUUAAUUUCAUUGCCUUCAUAUUAUUGGAAGAGUUUGUAUUUUCACUAGCGAAGUAGAGCUUGUUUUAGGGAUUUUUUUCCUCCGCUCUCAAAUUUUUUUUCUUAGUUUUGGCUCUCAAAAAUUUCUGGUUGUGGCCUUGCAAUUAGAACCACUUUUUUUUUUUUUUACUAAUAUUGAAAGAUUUGGUGAAUCGGGUGACUUCCCACUUGAAUUUCAAGAGACCAAUCUUGUUCUCUCUAUUUCUUUACUUUAUAUUUUAGAAUCUGUUCAUCAAUGUUUCAAUUCUUUUCACCUCAACUCUCUCCAUAUGCAUUUCCAGCAAGGUGUGUUUGGAUUGCUUGUUUCCGUCGGAAAAUAUUGUCGUUUUCCGUGAUCACAUUUCCCUAUCACCUUUUUCCCUCACAUAUAUCAAAUCGCUACAGUAAUUUUUCCAUGAAAAAUGACGGAAAAUGCAAUCCAAACAUGUGCUUAAUAGUUGUUAUCUAUUGUUAUAUUGAGUUGCAUUACAAUAACAAACACUACACAAAAUUUUCUUGGAUUUUAAAUCUUUUAUUAAUACUAAUAAGGAUUUUGGAUAAUGAAGGAACAAGACAACUGAAAGGGCAAUUUUGAAAUAAAAAUAUGCUCAUUUUACUUAAAUGAAUCAUUUAAUCUUACUUUGCUCCUAGUUAGGGGUGGUAGAUGAAUUGAGUUACUCGCAAGGAAUUUAGUCAAAUCUUUAUUCGAACUCGAGUUUGACUGAUACUCAAGUCAAUUAUUGAAUCGAAUUCAAGCAUCUAGGUAAUUGUUAAAUUACCUAAAAACCUAUAUUUUUAGAAAUAAUUGUCUUACCACUUGAGCUCGAAUUUGAUCUUAAUUUGCUUCUUGAGCACCUUUAUCUUUCACAUGAGCCGAACUUGAGUUUCAAAGUUGAUGAGCUCAAACCUGAGUUUGAGCUCAAGUAAUGUCUUCAAGCUCAUCGAGCUCGAGAUUGAAUACAUUAUAUAUUUGAGUUUGACUCCAUUCAUUGCCAUUCCUAUCCUAGUCAUUGAGCAUGUUACAAAAGAAUUUAUUUAGGGGAGGUUAAUGAGAUUUUCAAAAGUUUAGAAGUUCCAAGUGAUAUUCGCAAAAACCUUAGGGAAGGUUUUCGAAAUUAUCCGAAGAAUCAAUUCAAAGCCAGCUGAUGCAUGUGGCACAGAUUAACCUUAUCAAACAUGACCAUGUGCAUAAAGCCCCCACUGGAGUUCGGCAUUCAAAUCCCCACCGGAGUUCAUUGCCAUACUAACUUAUUUCAGCCCUGAUGGAGACUUGGCUACUCUUAGCCUUGGCAUGGGUUGUCGCAUUGGCUUUUCUCUCAAAAGUAUCCACUCACAAACGCCUGAAGCAAAAUCAUCCACCAGGACCAAAACCAUGGCCUAUUAUUGGCAACUUGAAACUCCUAGGUUCAAUCCCACAUCAAUCCUUACACUUGCUGUCCCAGAAAUAUGGAGAAAUCAUGCAACUAAAAUUUGGUUCCAGCCCUGUUGUAGUAGCUUCAUCCCCUGAAAUGGCAAAAGAAUUCUUGCAAACACAUGACAACAUCUUCGCCUCUCGGCCUACAACUGCUGCUGGCAUAUACACUAGCUAUAACUGCUCCGACUUGACAUGGGCACCUUAUGGUCCA